AUAAAACAAGUUACAAUAGCCUAAUCAGCCUGUAUAUAACAUACAGCGUCAGGUGACCCCCAAGAGGACAAACCCUCUGAAUACAUAUUAACCAUCCUUGAUACUCCAACCCAACUACAUCAAUAUAAACACAAAGAGAAAUACAAAAAGGCAUACAAUCAUGACUGCAGCUGCCUUCUUAGUCCAUCCUGUCUCGAAUUACCUGCAGCAACACAAUUCAACCUAAACCAAACAUCAUCCCCUAAUUGCCAAACCUGCAGAUUAAUACGGUAUUGCAGCAACCAAAUUAAGACUUCAUUCCUUGAUCCCUGUAGACAGCCUCAACAUUCUACCUGCACUCUUGAAGAUCCUUCACAAACAUUAUAGUCUACAACCACUGUACUCCCUGCAUGAUAGAAACCUGCAAACAGUUUCAGCCUUUCCACACCGGCCAUACAUGAAUAAGGGAACAAAACUAAGCCAAGUAAAAAUCCAUAAAAAUAAAAAUAAAUGAUGCUCUAACUAUGUGAGACUCCAACAAAUUAGAAAUCAUAGAAAAUUACAAAAACCAACCUGAUUGAUAGUUACUAACCAUUGUUGCAGAUUAACUAAUUGAAUCCAAUGUCCAAGAAAUAAAACCAGAAAAUAUGAAUACUAAAAUGUAACUUCAUACCAAGCAAUUAUUAAAAACCAAGCAAUUAAUUAAGCAAUACUCAUUUCAGGGUCUGUUUCCUAACACUUGGUUGCAUAUUUGGUUAAGUAUAUGAUAACUGUAUUAAUAGUGUCCAGAUUAUUGAAAACUAACCUGGAUCAAGGCUGCCAGAACUAAUUAACACACCUUCAGCUGCUACCAUUCUCUACUGUUGUGUGUGUGCCUUGUACACUGCUUGUCUCAUUAUUGUUGCCCUGUACAAAGAUAGAGUCAUCAGCCAACAACACAUGCAAAGUACUUGCUUGCUACAAACCAUUCCCUAACAUUUUGUCUCAUAACAUCAAAAUUCAGCCACAGACUGCAACUUUGCAGCCAACUCUGAAAAGCAAGAGAUAUCCCUUAGUUCCAGUAAGAAUCCAUAGAUUAAAAAAAACUUUGAAUUAAAGCAUUUCUGCAAUAAGAAUUUUACCUCAAAUGGAAGGCACAACAU
rnacentral:lncRNA from 1 species